GUUGGCCACAGCGUUUAUACAGACUUGCCAUCAGCUGUUGUUUUGGAACGUCAAAUCAAUCCAGAUUGUUUGAAUGAAGCUUCCAUUAACAGAAUUAAAUGUAGAAAGAAGGGCUUGACACCAAAAAUCAAUUCCCUGUUGUGGAGCAACCAUGCACUAUGUUAUGACAGCCUGUUGUUCAACGUAGUGCAUCAGGGCUGGACAUGAACGAUGUUGUUGCUGUGCAGUAUGUUUAUGCCAUACCAGAUCUGCAGCACAGCACAACAGUCUGGACGAUGCCAUCUUAAGGACCAAUUAGGGAGAUCCCAAACAUUUGGAGCUUGACACUGAUGUUCAGUCAGGCCCAUCAGGCUAUCUCAAGAGCAGAUGACCUAAUAUUCCCAACAUUUGGAGUUCAGAAGGUCAACUUGGAUCGACUGGCUGCCAGAAGGAGGGUGGAAAGGACCCUGGAAUUUCACCACUUCAGAGGUGGGGAUUGGCAU